UACGUAGGGUGCGAGCGUUAAUCGGAAUUACUGGGCGUAAAGCGUGCGCAGGCGGUUUUGUAAGCCAGAUGUGAAAUCCCCGGGCUUAACCUGGGAAUGGCAUUUGGGACUGCAAGGCUUGAGUGUGGCAGAGGAGACUGGAAUUCCUGGUGUAGCAGUGAAAUGCGUAGAUAUCAGGAGGAACACCGAUGGCGAAGGCAGGUCUCUGGGCUGACACUGACGCUCAUGCACGAAAGCGUGGGGAGCAAACAGG
rnacentral:rRNA from 1 species